rnacentral:lncRNA from 1 species
GCUUUCCAGACCAGGCUGGGGGAGUUAGAGGGAGACAGAAGAUAUGCCCUGAAAUCCAUGAGUGAGCCUGGGAGCUCCUGUGCACAGCCCUCCUGCAAAUUCCACCAUGCAGGUUUGGCAGAACACUGGAAAACAGCUCACAAUACACAAAGCUGGGAAAUGAAGAUUGAGAGGUUUACUUAUGGAAGAAGCAACACCCAAGAGGAAGCAGAAGACACAUUACAGUUGUGACCUCUCUCCACUCCAGGAACCUUGCAGGCAACAGAUAGAGGUUGAUGUGGCCAAGAGAAGGAAUGAGCUUUGCCUUCAAGAGCUACAACUUCGUGUCCUCAACAAACAAGCAUGGUGCUUGGAGGUGAUGAAACAGUUACAUCUCCCAAUACUCAAAUCAGAAGUAAAGUUCAAAUCUCAGCACCUCACAGAGUAUUAAAUAAAGCUUUCUUGUGUU